UACGAAGGGGGCGAGCGUUGUUCGGAAUCACUGGGCUUAAAGCGUGCGUAGGCGGACAUAUAAGUCAGAAGUGAAAGCCCGGGGCUUAACCCCGGAACUGCUUUUGAGACUGUAUGUCUAGAAUCCGGUAGGGGCUGAUGGAAUAUCCAGUGUAGAGGUGAAAUUCGCAGAUAUUGGAUAGAACACCAGUGGCGAAGGCGAUCAGCUGGGCCGGUAUUGACGCUGAGGCACGAAAGCGUGGGGAGCAAACAGG
rnacentral:rRNA from 1 species